rnacentral:rRNA from 1 species
CAGUCGCCACGGUAAUACGGAGGGUGCAAGCGUUAAUCGGAAUUACUGGGCGUAAAGCGCACGCAGGCGGUCUGUUAAGUCAGAUGUGAAAUCCCCGGGCUCAACCCGGGAACUGCAUUUGAAACUGGCAGGCUUGAGUCUUGUAGAGGGGGGUAGAAUUCCAGGUGUAGCGGUGAAAUGCGUAGAGAUCUGGAGGAAUACCGGUGGCGAAGGCGGCCCCCUGGACAAAGACUGACGCUCAGGUGCGAAAGCGUGGGGAGCAAACAGGAUUACAUACCCCAGUAGUCCCUGUCUCUUAUAC